CCUACGGGUGGCAGCAGUGAGGAAUAUUGGUCAAUGGACGGAAGUCUGAACCAGCCAUGCCGCGUGCAGGAAGACGGCUCUAUGAGUUGUAAACUGCUUUUGUACAAGGGUAAACCUGAAUACGUGUAUUCAGCUGAAAGUACUGUACGAAUAAGGAUCGGCUAACUCCGUGCCAGCAGCCGCGGUAAUACGGAGGAUCCAAGCGUUAUCCGGAUUUAUUGGGUUUAAAGGGUGCGUAGGCGGAUUGAUAAGUUAGAGGUGAAAUGUCCGAGCUUAACUCGGGAAAUGCCGCUAAUAAUGUUUAUCUAGAGUGUAGGUGCGGUAGGGGGAAUGUAUGGUGUAGCGGGUAAAUGCUUAGAG
rnacentral:rRNA from 1 species